AGAAGCGAAAACGUCGAUCGUCACCUCCUCCUCCUCCUCUUCUUUGAGGCUUCUGAUCGGCAAAAUUCUCUGCUCUUGAGAAACAACAGAUGCUAAAGAUGGACGUUUUGGACUAAAAUCGAAAGCGUUUAUGUGUACCGGGUCGGGUUCGGAUCCGGAGUCAAGCUCCAACGGGUGGAGCCGAGCUCGUGGCUUAGUGGUGAAGACUCUGGUUCUCAUUGGCUGUUACAGGAAUCGCCUUCAGCUACCCAUCGUCUCUUUACUCGCUUUCAAUAAUUACCGGUUAUCUCGGUUAAGUCGGUUUUAAUUACAUUUUGCUUUGGUUUUCAAGUUUGCUUUUGGUUCAAGAGUCACGUGCUGUAGCUGUGCCUCACGUCACACUAUUCGUACUGCAUUUUAGCUUUUUGGAAUGGUUAAUGAGAAUAGCAUCUUUCUUCUUCUCUGUCCUUUAUCUCUGACGCCAUUAAAGCAUAUCACCAACGAAUCUUGGUACUUAGAGGUGGUCCAUCUACGUAUGUACCUCCUCUUAGUCCUAGUAUUCACCUAAUCUUCAGAAUCUCGGUGAUUCUUUAUAUCGGGGGUUAUCUCUUUAUUUUUACUGUUCCAUUGGUAUCAGAGCUUUCCAAUCCUUGGAUCUACGAAAUGGGGAUGGAAACCCGUCAACAGGAAAAGCAAGCUAAGCUAGCUCUCGCCGAGCAAGCUGAGGAGUUGCGACUACAACAAGAGAAGAAGCUCGAGGAGCAACAGACCCGAACUAACUCUCUGGAAGAACGCUUUGAGAAGCUGGAAUCGAUGAUCAGCUCCUUUUUCUCUCGUGAUGGAUCAUCGGCGCGACAGGAGCAAAACCAGGGAUCCUGCUCUGCACCUCCGGUUGGAGCCCAUUCUCAAGGGGUGAUCCAGUUACCAGAUCCGCCAGAUCUGAGUGGGGUGGAGCAAAGAGCGCAUGGGAAGGGGAUCGCACCUCCGGUUGGAGUCCUCUCUCCGAGGAUGGUCCAGUUACCAGUCCCGACGGGAUUGAGUGGGGUCGAUCACCUCAACAUCGGAAGAAGCGAAGCGCCUCCAGUUGGAGUCUCCUACCCGGAGAUGUUCCAGUCACCAGCUCCCUCCAACGAGCUGAGUGGGCCGAUCGGUCUUCGAUGUUGCCCAACGGCUUGGCGUCAAGGUUAACGAAGAUGGGUUUUCCAAGCUUCGACGGAUCCGAUCUGCGUGGUUGGGUUUUCCGAUGCGAGCAAUUCUUCGAUCUCGACGGUACGCCGUUAGAUCUGAAAGUGCGACUCGCGGCUUUGCAUCUGACAGGGAUAGCCCUCGAAUGGCACCGCAACUUCAUCGCGGAAAGCUAUGGAGUCAUUCCCUCUUGGACAGAGUAUGUCAUGGCCAUUUCCUCUCGGUUUGCUGCACUGUAUGAUGAUCCAAUGUCCGAUCUGGUGAGCCUGAAGCAGGGAAGCGACUCACUAUCCGACUUUCACGAGAAGUUUGAACGCCUUCGCUCGAGAGUGACAAUACCAGCGCAUCAUGCCCUCAGUAUCUUUCUCUCCAAUAUGAACCCACACCUAGUGUUUCACACCAGGCAGUUCAAUGUCAAAACGGUCGCCGAGGCAGCUCGCUUAGCCAAGCUUCAUGAAUCAUCACUCAACCACACACCGAUGAGACAUGUUAAAGCUCCCUUCAAUCCAUUUCCGAGGAGUAAUAACCAGUUUCACUCCAAACCCUCAGCUCCUCUUCUACCAUCUCCGGAGGCUACUAAACAGAUCUCACUCAUCAUCUUUCCCAGCGAAAUCGAGUAACGAAAAGGGGCCAAAGAAGUUCAGUUAUGAGGAGAUGCAGGAGCGUCGCUCAAAGGGUCUGGGUAUGUUCUGUGAAGAUCCCUAUACACUGGGACAUCACCUGAAACAUAGGCGUUCCCAAGUCUACUAUUUGGAGGUAGAGGACGACCCAGCUUCCGAUGAUGAUGAGUUCCUGGAGUUCCCAGUUGCCGAGUCCACACCUAUUGAAGGCCCUAACGAGCCCAAUGGCGAGAACGCCUUGUCCAUUUCCAUUCAUGCACUUGAUGGGUCUGCAUCCUUCAACUGUAUAAGGGUGAUUGGGCAGUACAACAAGAGGAAGCUCUACAUUCUGAUCAACCCCAGCAGCACUCACAACUUCAUCGAUCUAUCCAUUGCCAAGGAGUUGGGAUGUAAGUUGGAUAACAUCAGGCCAAUGCCAGUUUCAGGUGCAUUAGGAGGUCGAAUACGCACCGCAUUCAUCUGCAAGGACUUCUCCUGGAGGGUUCAGGGGUACAGUUACUCUUCUGAGGUUCGAACUUUGCCAUUGGAUUCGUGUGAUCUUGUUUUGGGGGUUCAGUGGUUAAGCACUCUCGGUCCCAUCUUGUGGGAUUUCUUCAACAUGCGGAUGGAGUUUAAUCUCAAUGGGGUGAAGAAUGUUCUGCGGGGAGUCACUAAAUCUGGAUGCAAGACGAUAAAGGGGGAUCGCCUUAAUAAGCUUCUCCUUCAGGGUCCUCAGAUAGCCCUACUUCGCAUUCGAGACAUGGAGGAGGAUUAUGAUACCUCGCCUCUUCUUCCAGAAGCUAUGUUCUCACAUAUCUCCACAACCGGAGAUGAUAAAUCCGACGAUCCUGAGAUGCAAGCUCUACUGAGCUCGUUCGCUGACCUCUUCGACGAGCCAACCGAGGUCCCUCCCUUUCGGGAAGGAUUUGAUCACAAGAUACCCGUGGUAACCGGCUCGAAUCCCAUCAGUCAACGCCCUUACCGCUAUUCAUCACUACAGAAGGACGUCAUAGAAAAAAUGGUUAAGGAGAUGCUCACACAGGGGAUCAUCCAAUAUAGUUCAAGCCCCUACGCGUCCCCCAUCGUCCUCGUCAAGAAGAAAGACGGUUCGUGGCGCCUUUGUGUUGAUUACCGGGGGUUGAAUAAGCAAACCAUCAAAGAUAAAUACCCGAUUCCUUUGCUGGAGGAUCUCCUCGACGAGCUUGGGGGACCAUGUUUCUUUUCGAAGCUCGACUUACGCUCCGGUUUCCACCAGCUGCGAAUGUCUCCCGAUGAUAUCUUCAAAACGGCUUUCAAGACGCACGCCGGUCACUACGAAUACCUUGUGAUGCCCUUCGGGCUUUCCAACGCGCCGUGUACCUUUCAGAAUCUCAUGAACCACGUCUUCUGCGAUAUAUCCGGAAAGUACCUGCUUGUAUUUUUCGACGAUAUACUGGUCUACAGUACGUCGUGGGAGCUUCAUCUUCAGCACCUUUCCUCAGUCUUCACCAUCCUCCGGGAGCAGAAGUUGUUCCUCAAACCCUCGAAGUGUACCUUCGGUGCUACAAUUAUCGAAUAUCUUGGCCACUUCAUCUCGGUCAAAGGAGUCAGCACCGAUCUAAAGAAGAUCGAAGCAAUACAACACUGGCCUGCGCCUAAGUCCCAGAAGCAACUGCGAAGCUUUCUCGGAUUGGCCAACUACUAUCGCCAGUUCAUCAGGGGCUACAGUAUCAUCGCUAAACCGCUCUCCAACCUCCUCAAAAAGGAAGGAUUCUCUUGGUCCGAUGAUCCUCAAGCGGCAUUUGAUUGUCUUAAAGCUGCUCUGGUUUCUUCUCCGACCAUGGCCCUUCCAGACUUCGAGAAAACGUUCAUUGUUGAAACAGAUGCCUCCAAUACGGGCAUUGGAGCGAUGUUGAUGCAGGAUCAUCACCCAAUCUGUUUUAUCAGCCGAGCCUUAGGCCCCCCGUCAUCAAUCGCUCUCUGUCUACGAGAAGGAGCUGCUUGCUGUAGUACACGCGGUGCAUACCUGGAAUGCCUAUCUGGAACACCGACCCUACAUCAUCAAGACCGAUCAGAAGAGUAUCAAGUACCUUCUCGAUCAGAAGGUGUCAACCCCAUUCCAACACAUGUGGUUAUCCAAAUUGAUGGGUUAUACGUUUGAAAUCCAUUACAAGCAGGGUAAAGAAAACGUCGCGGCGGAUGCGCUUUCCCGUGUCACCGGUUCACAGCUCCUCCAUAUCUCACUAUCAGCUUCCGAUCUGGAGCUCUUCGACUCCAUCUCUUCCCUCUGGCAAACAGACCCUUUGCUUCAGCGCAUCAUCCAGGAGCUGCAAACCAACAGGGUUUCUCAUCCGACUUUCUCCUACACGAAUGGGGAACAUCGCCGGAAAGGUAAGCUGGUCAUCGGUAAUAGCCCCUCUCUCAAACUUCAGAUAUUCAAGUGGUUGAUGAUUCCCCAACUGGUGGACACUCUGGACGCGAUGCCACACUCCGCCGCCUCAAAUCACUCUUCUACUGGCCUAAAAUGGCCGAUGAGGCUCAGGCGUACAUACGGAACUGCUCAGUUUGUCAGAAGAAUAAGUAUGAUUUCGCGGCAAAGCCGGGUUUACUCCAACCCCUCCCCAUUCUAAGCAGCAUCUGGGAAUCCGUCAGUCUAGACUUCAUCGAAGGCCUUCCUCCUUCAUCAAAGAAACACUGCAUUCUGGUUGUGGUAGAUCGACUGAGUAAAAACGCUCACUUCAUCGCUCUCUCACAUCCCUACACAGCUUUGGAUGUCGCCACCGCUUAUCUGAACAACGUCUUUAAGCUCCACGGCAUGCCCAAGGAUAUUGUGAGUGAUCGAGAUCCGACCUUCCUGAGCACGGUGUGGGCUGAGCUCUUCCGCGUCCACGGCGUCGAACUGAAGUACUCCACCUCCUACCACCCACAAACCGACAGCCAGACGUUGGUUACGAACAGAACACUGGAGACUUACCUUCGCUGCAUGACGGCUGAUGCUCCUCACACUUGGAGUGAGUGGUUACCCUUGGCCGAAUGGUGGUAUAACACCUCCUUCCAUUCAGCAACGCAGUGCACCCCUUACGAGGCAGUCUAUGGCCAACCCCCUCCUAUUCAUUUACCUUAUCUCCCUGGUGAGAGUUCAUCUGAUACGGUUGACCGCGCUUUACGCUCGCGUGAAGAGAUCAUUUCGAUGCUGAAGUUUCACCUCAUCCGAGCACAGAAUCGUAUGAAGCAAUACGCUGACUCACAUCGCUCCCAGCGUGAGUUUAAGAUAGGGGACUUCGUUUACCUCAAGCUCCAACCCUAUCGCCAGCACUCCCUCAAGAAUAGAUCCCUGCCUCACAAGCUCUCUCCACGUUUCUACGGUCCAUUCCGCGUGUCAGAUCGUAUCGGCCAGGUCGCUUACAAGCUCGACCUCCCCUCUGAUGCUGCUGUUCACAAUGUAUUUCAUGUGAGUCAGCUGAAGCUUUGUCCUAAUCUUCCUGAUACCCCGACAGCUCUUCCACAGUACCUUACUGACAUGGGAACGGAUAAAGAACCCGAAGCUAUACUGGAGACGAGAAUGGUCAAGUGUCAGAACCAACCUGUCACCAAAGUUCUUGUGCAGUGGAAAGGUUACCCAGCUGACAAGGCAACUUGGGAGUUCUACCGUGACUUCGCCGCCAAGUAUCCUCAUUUUCAUCCUUGAGGACAAGGAUGUUCUUGAAGGGGGAAGUAUUGUUACAGGAAUCGCCUUCAGCUACCCAUCGUCUCUUUACUCACUUUCAAUAAUUAUCGGUUAUCUCGGUUAAGUCCGUUUUAAUUACAUUUCGCUUUGGUUUUCAAGUUUGCUUUUGGUUCAAGAGUCACGUGCUGUAGCUGUGCCUCACGUCACACUAUUUGUACUGCAUUUUAGUUUUUUGGAAUGGUUAAUGAGAAUAGCAUCUUUCUUCUUUUCUGUCUUUUAUCUCUGACGCCAUUAAAGCAAAUUACCAUCGAAUCUUGGUACUGUGGUCCUUCUACGUCUGUAUCUCCUCCUAGUUCUAGUAUUCACCUAAUCUUCAGAAUCUCGGUGAUUCUUUAGAUCAGGGGUUAUCUCUUUAUUUUUACUGUUCCAUUGGCGGCGUUCUUCUCCUCAAGCGUCUCACUAAAUCCACAACUCGUAGAGAUCACGCUCGCUUCGUCUCUCGUUCUCUCAACGGAGAAAAG
rnacentral:lncRNA from 1 species